rnacentral:tRNA from 1 species
ACCUGGGUGGCUUGGUCGGUGAAGCAUCUGACUUCAGCUCACAUCAUGAUGUCACCAUUCAUGGGUUCAAACCCCAUGUCAGGCU